UCUGUGACUCCUACGGGAGGCAGCAGUGGGGAAUAUUGCACAAUGGGGGAAACCCUGAUGCAGCCAUGCCGCGUGUGUGAAGAAGGCCUUCGGGUUGUAAAGCACUUUCAGUAGGGAGGAAGGUAGUGUAGUUAACACCUGCAUUAUUUGACGUUACCUACAGAAGAAGCACCGGCUAACUCCGUGCCAGCAGCCGCGGUAAUACGGAGGGUGCGAGCGUUAAUCGGAAUUACUGGGCGUAAAGCGCAUGCAGGCGGCCUGUUAAGUCAGAUGUGAAAGCCCGGGGCUUAACCUCGGAAUUGCAUUUGAAACUGGCAGGCUAGAGUCUUGUAGAGGGGGUAGAAUUUCAGGUGUAGCGGUGAAAAUGCGUAGAGAUCUGAAGGAAUACCAGUGGCGAAGGCGGCCCCCUGGACAAAGACUGACGCUUAGAUGCGAAAGCGUGGGGAGCAAACAGGAUUAGAUACCCUGGUAG
rnacentral:rRNA from 1 species